UCCAGGAAAAGCCUCUAAGCAUCAGGUAACAUCAAAUCGUACCCCAAACCGACACAGGUGGUCAGGUAGAGAAUACCAAGGCGCUUGAGAGAACUCGGGUGAAGGAACUAGGCAAAAUGGUGCCGUAACUUCGGGAGAAGGCACGCUGAUAUGUAGGUGAAGCGACUUGCUCGUGGAGCUGAAAUCAGUCGAAGAUACCAGCUGGCUGCAACUGUUUAUUAAAAACACAGCACUGUGCAAACACGAAAGUGGACGUAUACGGUGUGACGCCUGCCCGGUGCCGGAAGGUUAAUUGAUGGGGUCAGCGCAAGCGAAGCUCUUGAUCGAAGCCCCGGUAAACGGCGGCCGUAACUAUAACGGUCCUAAGGUAGCGAAAUUCCUUGUCGGGUAAGUUCCGACCUGCACGAAUGGCGUAAUGAUGGCCAGGCUGUCUCCACCCGAGACUCAGUGAAAUUGAACUCGCUGUGAAGAUGCAGUGUACCCGCGGCAAGACGGAAAGACCCCGUGAACCUUUACUAUAGCUUGACACUGAACAUUGAGCCUUGAUGUGUAGGAUAGGUGGGAGGCUUUGAAGUGUGGACGCCAGUCUGCAUGGAGCCGACCUUGAAAUACCACCCUUUAAUGUUUGAUGUUCUAACGUGGACCCGUGAUCCGGGUUGCGGACAGUGUCUGGUGGGUAGUUUGACUGGGGCGGUCUCCUCCUAAAGAGUAACGGAGGAGCACGAAGGUUGGCUAAUCCUGGUCGGACAUCAGGAGGUUAGUGCAAUGGCAUAAGCCAGCUUGACUGCGAGCGUGACGGCGCGAGCAGGUGCGAAAGCAGGUCAUAGUGAUCCGGUGGUUCUGAAUGGAAGGGCCAUCGCUCAACGGAUAAAAGGUACUCCGGGGAUAACAGGCUGAUACCGCCCAAGAGUUCAUAUCGACGGCGGUGUUUGGCACCUCGAUGUCGGCUCAUCACAUCCUGGGGCUGAAGUAGGUCCCAAGGGUAUGGCUGUUCGCCAUUUAAAGUGGUACGCGAGCUGGGUUUAGAACGUCGUGAGACAGUUCGGUCCCUAUCUGCCGUGGGCGCUGGAGAACUGAGGGGGGCUGCUCCUAGUACGAGAGGACCGGAGUGGACGCAUCACUGGUGUUCGGGUUGUCAUGCCAAUGGCACUGCCCGGUAGCUAAAUGCGGAAGAGAUAAGUGCUGAAAGCAUCUAAGCACGAAACUUGCCCCGAGAUGAGUUCUCCCUGAGACCUAGAGUCUCCUGAAGGAACGUUGAAGACGACGACGUUGAUAGGCCGGGUGUGUAAGCGCAGCGAUGCGUUGAGCUAACCGGUACUAAUGAACCGUGAGGCUUAACCUUACAACGCCGAAG
rnacentral:rRNA from 2 species